rnacentral:tRNA from 1 species
AAAAAGAUAAGCUAAUUUAAGCUAAUGGGUUCAUACCUCAUUUAUGGAUUUAUAUCCUCUUUUUA